rnacentral:rRNA from 1 species
UUAUCUCUGUAGAGUCUGCAUAUCAAUAAGCGGAGGAAAAGAAACUAACUAGGAUUCCCUCAGUAACGGCGAGUGAAGCGGGAAGAGCUCAAAUUUGAAAUCUUCAAGGUUCUACCUUGACGAAUUGUAGUUUAAAGAAGUGUUUUCUGUUGGAGUUUUGGUAAAAGUUCUUUGGAGUAGGACAUCAUAGAGGGUGAGAAUCCCGUAUUUGACCAUUAUUUCAAGCUGUGUGAUACACUUUCAAAGAGUCGGAUUGUUUGGGAAUGCAGUCCAAAAUGGGUGGUAUAUUUCAUCUAAAGCUAAAUAUUGGCGAGAGACCGAUAGCGAACAAGUACCGUGAGGGAAAGAUGAAAAGAACUUUGGAAAGAGAGUUAAACAGUACGUGAAAUUGUCAAAAGGGAAGCGUUUGACACCAGUGUUGUUUUCUCGAAAAUCAAUUAAAAAUGGCUUGAUUUUGUGUUGUAUUGACCUUAAAAGCUUUCUUCACUUUUUUCAUGUCUUUUUUAAUGCACUUUUCGUUUAACAAGUCAACAUCAGUUUCUUUUGUUGUAAAAAGGUCAUUGGAAGGUGGCUUUCUUUUCGGAGAAAGUGUUUAUAGCCUUUGACUUCUGCAAUCGGAGAGACUGAGGUCUGCAGCGUAGAUCCUUCUGGAUUAGAUUCAUUUGUGCUAAGUUACAACCGUUUAUAGACAACUUGUCGACUAUAUUCGAUCCUGUAGCUUACUCGCUUAUGUAAUUUUACCUACGCUUAGGAUGUUGAAGAUGUAGCACAUCAU